UUGCCCUAGUAACGGCGAGUGAAGCGGCAACAGCUCAAAUUUGAAAUCUGGCUCCCUUGGGGGUCCGAGUUGUAAUUUGUAGAGGGUGCUUUGGUAUUAGCUGUGGUCUAAGACCCUUGGAACAGGGCGUCACAGAGGGUGAGAAUCCCGUAUGUGGCCAGCAGCUCUUGCCUUGUAAAGCCCCUUCGACGAGUCGAGUUGUUUGGGAAUGCAGCUCUAAAUGGGAGGUAAAUUUCUUCUAAAGCUAAAUACUGGCCAGAGACCGAUAGCGCACAAGUAGAGUGAUCGAAAGAUGAAAAGCACUUUGGAAAGAGAGUCAAAAAGCACGUGAAAUUGUUGAAAGGGAAGCGCUUGCAGCCAGACUUGCCCGUAGUUGUUCAUCUAGGCUCUUGCCUAGUGCACUCUUCUGCGGGCAGGCCAGCAUCAGUCCAGGCGGUCGGAUAAAGGCCUUGGGAAUGUGGCUCCUUUCGGGGAGUGUUAUAGCCCAGGGUGUCAUGCGGCCAGCCUGAACUGAGGUCCGCGCUUCUGCUAGGAUGCUGGCGUAAUGGCUGUAAGCGGCCCGUCUUGAAACACGGACCAAGGAGUCUAACAUCUAUGCGAGUGUUUGGGUGUCAAGCCCGAGCGCGCAAUGAAAGUGAACGGAGGUGGGAACCCUUCGGGGUGCACCAUCGACCGAUCCUGAUGUCUUCGGAUGGAUUUGAGUAAGAGCAUAGCUGUUGGGACCCGAAAGAUGGUGAACUAUGCCUGAAUAGGGUGAAGCCAGAGGAAACUCUGGUGGAGGCUCGCAGCGGUUCUGACGUGCAAAUCGAUCGUCAAAUUUGGGCAUAGGGGCGAAAGACUAAUCGAAC
rnacentral:rRNA from 1 species